AGUCAAAAAGAGUAAUGCAGGUCCCAUGAGCAUACAAGUGGCUUUCCUGGGGUGAGGCCUGUCCCUUGUAGCCUGGGCAGGCUUUCCCCUGCAAGUUUCCUUGAAUGCGGGAAACUUGACUGCACAAUUAUGUGGCAAUGGGGGACUGCAUUCAUGCUUCCCCGUG
rnacentral:snRNA from 1 species